rnacentral:rRNA from 1 species
GGGGAGUACGGUCGCAAAGAUUAAAACUCAAAGAAUUGACGGGGGCCCGCACAAGCGGUGGAGCAUGUGGUUUAAUUAGAAGCAACGCGCAGAACCUUACCAACCCUUGACAUCCUGAUCGCGGUUACCGGAGACGGUUUCCUUCAGUUCGGCUGGAUCAGUGACAGGUGCUGCAUGGCUGUCGUCAGCUCGUGUCGUGAGAUGUUCGGUUAAGUCCGGCAACGAGCGCAACCCACAUCCUUAGUUGCCAGCAGUUCGGCUGGGCACUCUAGGGAAACUGCCGAUGAUAAGUCGGAGGAAGGUGUGGAUGACGUCAAGUCCUCAUGGCCCUUACGGGUUGGGCUACACACGUGCUACAAUGGCAGUGACAAUGGGUUAAUCCCAAAAAGCUGUCUCAGUUCGGAUUGUUCUCUGCAACUCGAGAGCAUGAAGUCGGAAUCGCUAGUAAUCGCGUAACAGCAUGACGCGGUGAAUACGUUCCCGGGCCUUGUACACACCGCCCGUCACACCAUGGGAGUUGGUUCUACCCGACGACGCUGCGCUAACCUUCGGGGGGCAGGCGGCCACGGUAGGAUCAGCGACUGGGGUG